rnacentral:rRNA from 1 species
AUUGAACGCUGGCGGCAUGCCUUACACAUGCAAGUCGAACGGUAACAGGUCUUCGGAUGCUGACGAGUGGCGAACGGGUGAGUAAUACAUCGGAACGUGCCCGAGAGUGGGGGAUAACGAGGCGAAAGCUUUGCUAAUACCGCAUACGAUCUCAGGAUGAAAGCAGGGGACCGCAAGGCCUUGCGCUCACGGAGCGGCCGAUGGCAGAUUAGGUAGUUGGUGGGAUAAAAGCUUACCAAGCCGACGAUCUGGAGCUGGUCUGAGAGGACGACCCGCCACACUGGGACUGAUGCACGGGCAAGCCUCAUCCGGGAGGCAGCAGGGGGGAAGUGUGGACAAUGGGCGCAAGACUGAUCCAGCCAUGCCGUGUGCGGGAUGGAGGCCUUCGUGUUGUAAACUGCGUUUGUGCGGAACGAACAGAUUCUGGUUAAUACCUGGGGUCCAUGACGGUACCGUAAGAAUAAGCACCGGCUAACUACGUGCCAGCCGCCGCGGUAAUAC